rnacentral:rRNA from 1 species
CACGUAGGGGGCGAGCGUUGUCCGGAUUUAUUGGGCGUAAAGAGCUCGUAGGCGGUUCGGCAAGUCGGGUGUGAAAUUUCGAGGCUCAACCUCGAAACGCCACUCGAUACUGCUGUGACUGGAGUCCGGUAGAGGAGUGCGGAAUUCCUGGUGUAGCGGUGAAAUGCGUAGAUAUCGAGAGGAACACCUGCGGCGAAGGCGGGUUGCUGGGCUGACACUGACGCUGAGGCGCGAAAGCUAGGGGAGCGAACGGG